CCUCUACUCCCUCCGUUCGGAAUUACUUGUCGCAGAAAUGGAUGUAUCUUGACGUAUUUUAGUUCUAGAUACAUCCAUUUCUGAGACAAGUAAUUCCGAACGGAGGGAGUACAUC
rnacentral:pre_miRNA from 1 species